UGAUUUUACAAUAGAUUGAAA
rnacentral:miRNA from 1 species